GUCUACCACCAUGCUACCCUGAACAAGCCCAAUCCCAUCUGAUCUCAGAAGCUAAGCAAAGUCGGGCCUGGUUAGUACUUGGAUGGGAGACCACCUAGGAAGACCAGGUGCUGUAGGUG
rnacentral:rRNA from 1 species